CUCAGUAGCGGCGAGUGAGCGGCAGAGCUCAGAUUUGAAAUCGUGCUUUGCGGCACGAGUUGUAGAUUGCAGGUUGGAGUCUGUGUGGAAGGCGGUGUCCAAGUCCCUUGGAACAGGGCGCCCAGGAGGGUGAGAGCCCCGUGGGAUGCCGGCGGAAGCAGUGAGGCCCUUCUGACGAGUCGAGUUGUUUGGGAAUGCAGCUCCAAGCGGGUGGUAAAUUCCAUCUAAGGCUAAAUACUGGCGAGAGACCGAUAGCGAACAAGUACUGUGAAGGAAAGAUGAAAAGCACUUUGAAAAGAGAGUGAAACAGCACGUGAAAUUGUUGAAAGGGAAGGGUAUUGCGCCCGACAUGGGGAUUGCGCACCGCUGCCUC
rnacentral:rRNA from 1 species